ensembl:snoRNA
CUGCAUGUUUCCAAGGACUGUGGCUGGUUGUUGCCAUGGGAUCUCCAACUGCAUGCAAGAACAAUGUGGAGAGACUUUGACAGCUUAGGUCAGUACAGUACCUGUAGCUGCCACUCACCUUUCCUAUAAUG